AAAAUAAAAAAAGGUAGGAUUUUCAAUUUUUUAGAUUUAGAUUUAUAAAUCAGAAAUUUGUUUAUAAUUCAUUACAUACGGAUACUGUUUGUGACUUAUAAGUUAUAAGCCGUAGAUGUUUAAAAGAAGCACGGCAAACCCGCUAUAUAACUUCACUCAAUGUCUCUGGUAUAUAUUUUGUUCGAAACUCUGCAAUAAUUUAAUUUUCGAGUAUUCUGUUUAUGGUCCCCUCUAUCUAUAGUGCAAGUAAAUUUAGCACUUAAUGUGCUAAUAAUUUCAUAUAUCAAUGAAGUAGUUGGUUAGAUGGUUAAGCAUGUCAUUGUGUGCGUGCUAUCCACUUGUAAGAACAACUUUCCCUAUAGUCCACUAAAUUUGUUGCAACGUGGAGGUUAGUUUCUACUCCUUUCACUUGCACAAAUCAACUACGGUUCCUGUUACAACCUCUUUCUAUUCAAUUGAAAAUGAUAGAUGGUUCAUUUGCUUAAAAACAAAGAUGUGGUGGGCACUAUAACCUACUCUUUUAAAUUUGUGGGGAAAUUAUGUUAGUAGUUGAUGACUUGGCAACAGAAUUUUGAAAUUUUUACUUGGAGACUUAUUGAAUGGCAACUAUUCGUUUAAAUUUGUGUGAAAUUAUCUUAGUCGUCAGUAAAGAUGUUGCUACAAUUUUGAAAUUUCUACUUAAAGAAUGGUAUCAGGUUUCAUACCCACUUUAUAUUUGCAUUGAUCUUCAUCAUAUGGAUAUAUAACAGACUACUACUAAACUUUCCCAUGUGGAAUUCGACUUCCACCAUCUCGGCCAUAAAAUGGUGUAUAAGGUGCUGGAUCCCAUAUCCCAUAAUCACUGACCUCAACUGCAGCUGCAACCAUUUCCGCUCUUUGUUCAGUUUGAGAUACCGGUGGUGGUGAUGGCACUGAUGAUUCUGAUUUUGUUGCUGUCCCUGUUGUUUCGGCAACCAUGGAUGUGCCUGGCAUCAGCACCAUUAUUAUAAGGACCGUGGUCAUGCAUAACAUGUUCAUUACCGCCCUAAGACUCGAGGUAGGCAGCUUGUGACUCAUGGAAGAGACACUCGGAAAAUGAAUUUUGGCGAUUCAUCAGAUAUAUAUGUGAUGUGGACUACUGCUCAAACAGAUUCAACAGGAAUUCUGGGUCAUGCUUGUUGGAUGAAGUCAUGAUUGUUGCAUGAACUACGAAGUUAGUGUCAUCACAACUUGUGGGAUCUCUAAUUAACUUGCGUUUCUUCUCGCUGUAUUAGGAGAUUUUUAGGUACGUUCUUUCACUGGAAACCGAAGACAUUCAAAGUUGAUGUUACUUAAACUUUAGUUAUUAUCUUCUAAAUCAGCACGUACUAAUCACAUGAGUAAAAAAAAAUUAUUUCCGUUGCCGGGACUUGAACCCGGGUCUCUCAGGUGAGAGCCGAGUAUCCUGACCAACUAGACUACAACGGAUUGUUGGAUCUAGAACAGCACGGCGCACUUCAGCAUUUCACAAGAUUAUGAAGAAAGAUUGUUGCCUGAAAAAAAACUUUCACAAUUUUCCCAGCUUACAGCCAUGUAGGUCUCGACUAAUACAUUAAAUGUAUGAACCCUUGUGAGGAUCAAACUUUCAAUAAACUUUACAAGUUCAAUAGAGA